UUAAAGGUCCCGCCUGCCCAGUGAUAUAUUUUAACGGCCGCGGUAUUCUAACCGUGCAAAGGUAGCGUAAUCACUUGUCUUCUAAAUAAAGACCAGUAUGAACGGCUAAAUGAGGACAAACCUGUCUCCUACGACAAAUCAGUGAAACUGAUCUCCCAGUACAAAAGCUGGGAUAAAUACAUAAGACGAGAAGACCCUGUGGAGCUUAUAAACAAAAGGUCAACCAAACGAGUCCAACAACCAACUCAUGACCACAUGUUUUAAGUUGGGGCGACUUCGGAAUAAAACAAAACUUCCGAGAACUAGGGCCACAAGCCCUUCCUAAGGGGCACAUCCCAAAGCGCUAACAUAUAUGACCCAGUCAAACUGAUUAACGAACCAAGUUACCCCAGGGAUAACAGCGCCAUCUUCUUCGAGAGUCCAUAUCGACAAGAAGGUUUACGACCUCGAUGUUGGAUCAGGACACCCAAAUGGUGCAGCAGCUAUUAAAGGUUCGUUUGUUCAACGAUUAACAGUCCUACGUG
rnacentral:rRNA from 1 species